UUCAGAUCCAAAGAAGAAAAUUUCUUUAAAUCUCUGAACCUGACAAAUUCAUUGAUAAACUCAAUUCUCUUGAUUCAUUUUGAAUAUUUUGAGGAUAUUUUUUGGUGAGAAGAAAUUUUUUUUACGUGCAUAAGAUUUGUUCUUCAAGCGUUCAGUUUCCGUAUUGAGCCAAUAUGAAACUACUUUUAGCUGUGGUUUUUAUCCUUUUCAGUAUUGUUCCAAUACGUUCCAAUGUAAGGUGUGGACCGGGUCGAGUGGAAGAUGUCAAGGUAGUACCUAACAAUAAUGUGGUGCUUAAAUUGGUUAAUCUUCCUACUUUAUUCACAAUUACAAAAGAAAUACAAAAAUUAGCCGCCAAGAAAGCAUACGAAGUCAACUAUAGAGUAUCAGUGUUUACGAAAAAAAAUUGUAACAACACUCAUGUGAUUGAUUUUGAAGUAAUCAGAGAUAACGAAAAGGAACAUUAAAAAAAAGAUUUCACAUCUUAAUGCGACAUUAAA